rnacentral:rRNA from 1 species
UACGUAGGUGGCAAGCGUUGUCCGGAUUUAUUGGGUUUAAAGGGUGCGUAGGCGGAUGCUUAAGUCAGAGGUGAAAGACGGCCGCUCAACGGUCGCAGUGCCUUUGAUACUGGGUAUCUUGAGUGCAGACGAGGUCUGUGGAAUGGAUGGUGUAGCGGUGAAAUGCUUAGAUACCAUCCAGAACACCAAUUGCGAAGGCAGCAGACUAGGGUGCAAACUGACGCUGAGGCACGAAAGUGCGGGGAUCAAACAGG